GAAUCCUUAUGGCCGAAUAUCCAAGGUUUCCAGAGUAAAGCUGAUCUGCUCUGGGUAAGUCGGGGCCUAAGGCGAGGACGAGAGUCGUAGCCGAUGGACAACAGGUGGAGAUUCCUGUACUGCGGUAUGACAGAACUGUGGGGACACGUAAGGAAAGCGGAAGCCGGGAAUGGAAAGCCCGGUGCAAGCGGGGUACCAGUCACUUUGGCAAAUCCGGGUGGCAAUGGGAAGCCGUGAUGCGGAGCGAAAUAAAGUAGCGAAGUCCGUGAGCCAUGCGUCAAGAAAAGCCGCUAUUGUUUGUACCGUACCCGUACCGUAAACCGACACAGGUGGAUGAGGAGAGAAUCCUAAGGCCGGCGGAAGAAGCAUUGUCAAGGAACUCGGCAAAAUGGCCCCGUAACUUAGGGAUAAGGGGUGCCUGGGAAACCAGGCCGCAGAGAAUAGGCUCAAGCAACUGUUUAGCAAAAACACAGGUCUAUGCGAAACCGAAAGGUGAGGUAUAUGCUGACGCCUGCCCGGUGCUGGAAGGUUAAGAGGAGAGGUUAGCGGUAACGCGAAGCUUUGAAUUUAAGCCCCAGUAAACGGCGGCCGUAACUAUAACGGUCCUAAGGUAGCGAAAUUCCUUGUCGGGUAAGUUCCGACCCGCACGAAAGGCGUAAUGAUUUGAGCGCUGUCUCGACAAUGCAUCCGGUGAAAUUGAAGUACCAGUGAAGAUGCUGGUUACCUGCGCCAGGACGGAAAGACCCCAUGGAGCUUUACUCCAGUCUGGUACUGGGACUCGGUAUUGCAUGUACAGGAUAGGUGGGAG
rnacentral:rRNA from 1 species